rnacentral:rRNA from 1 species
UCUAGUGGCGCACGGGUGCGUAACGCGUGGGAAUCUGCCCUUGGGUUCGGGAUAACAGUUGGAAACGACUGCUAAUACCGGAUGAUGUCCUCGGACCAAAGAUUUAUCGCCCAAGGAUGAGCCCGCGUAGGAUUAGCUUGUUGGUGAGGUAAGAGCUCACCAAGGCGACGAUCCUUAGCUGGUCUGAGAGGAUGAUCAGCCACACUGGGACUGAGACACGGCCCAGACUCCUACGGGAGGCAGCAGUGGGGAAUAUUGGACAAUGGGCGAAAGCCUGAUCCAGCAAUGCCGCGUGAGUGAUGAAGGCCUUAGGGUUGUAAAGCUCUUUUACCCGGGAUGAUAAUGACAGUACCGGGAGAAUAAGCCCCGGCUAACUCCGUGCCAGCAGCCGCGGUAAUACGGAGGGGGCUAGCGUUGUUCGGAAUUACUGGGCGUAAAGCGCGCGUAGGCGG